CCAGGUGACAGAACAACCCUACUUAGCUUCAGAGGCAAGCCAGCAGUGGGAUGCAGGGUGGUAUGCUGCUGGCAAAAGCAGUUGAAACAUACUGUAUAACAUUUCAUAAUUUAGCAGACAAUCUUAUAAAGGCACUCUUAACAUGUAAGAAUGAACUAUAUCCAUUGAAUUCCACUGUAAAUUAUAUGGAAUUAUACAAUGGGUGGGUCUAAUCCUGGAUGCUGAUUGGUUAAAACCGCAUUCCAGCUAGUGUCUAUUUAAGCACUCAGGUACGAGGGGGUGUAGUAUAUGGGCAUCAUUACAUCAAGUGUAUUUGUGGUCUAUGCUAUGUAGGAAAAACAAAACGAGCUCUGAAAACAAGGAUAGCAGAAUUCAGGAGUAAUAUCAGGACCCUUGACCAGAGAAACCCUGUGGCUGUGCAUUUCGUGGAAGCUCGUCACAACAUUAGCUCUUUGAGACACAUUGGCAUCGAACAUGUUAAGACUCCUAGAGGGGGGGGGAGAUACUGAUAAUCUAUUAUUGAGAAGAGAAUUGUACUGGAUUCAAUGUUUGUGUACCAUGUCUCCUAGAGGUCUGAACCAAGAGUUUGAUAAAUCAAAGUGAAUAUGUCACUUUGAUUUGUCUUGCCUUCCAGGUUACCCACUUGGUCAUUUUGUAAAUAUAUAUUAUUUUCUGGAACCACUACAUGUACUCAUCUCAUUGUUAUUCAAUGAUUAGAGAUACACAUUGUUUUUGCACCCACCAUGCGUCAUGUCCACAAUGGUCAUGUGAGGUGAAAUGUGUAUAUUUUGGGAUGUGAGCACUCAGUUUAUUUGACCUGACGAAGAUUAGUUUCAGAUCGAAACGUUGUCAAUAAAUCUGUGAAUUGGGAGCUUUAACAGUGUGCGGGCCUUCUUGUUCUAUACUCGUAUUCUUUAUUAGCAUAGCACCUAUGUUUUUAAGGAUGUGCGUAUGACCACAAACUUUUCUAUAUGGCCAAACUAUCAUGGCUAAGGGCUGUUCUUAUGCACGACGCAUCGCGGAGUAGCUAGAUACAGUCCUUAGCCGUGGUACCGUAUAUUGGCAUCAUACCACAAACACCUGAGGUGCCUAUUAUAAACUGGUUACCAAAGUAAUUAGAGCAUUUUCAAAUAAAUGUUUUGUCAUACCCGUGGUAUAUGGUCUGAUAUAACACGGCUUUCAGCCAAUCAGCAUUCAGGGCUCGAACCUCCCAGUUUAUAAUUCACAAAUGACCACAGGCUAAUUCUAUACCUAUUUACUUCAUCUGACUGUGCAUCUGACUGGAUAAUCAGUUCAGCCAGGCCAUUUAUUUACUAGAUCUACAUUGUAAAAAGCAUCUAGACAUUAUCUCCCAUUUCUUUUAGACUAGCAUUUGGUUUUCAACAGCGGAGAUGUGUAAUAAAAUUAAAUCUCCAGCUGUCCUAUGGUAAUGAACGUCUCGAGAAAGACAGGCUUGCAGAUUUUCUCAGGCAGUCGAAAUCAUGAAUCUGCAUAAUUUCUUUGGACAUAUACAAAGAAAAGAAAAACACGAAAUGUAGCUCGUUUGCUUUCAUUUCAGCUUUAGUUUGAAAUGAUUGUGUUAGCUGUGUAUCUAUUCUGAACAGUGGCCUGGCGAGAGGGCAAAUGUUCUAUGCCAGGCGAAAUCGCACAUUAUUAGUUCAUUGUUAUGGAUGAAUCCACAUUCAAGGUCUCUAGAAAACAGCUUAAACAAAUGCAAAUGCAGUUACUUUGGCUGCACUUUUUUGGUGUGAAUGUAAGUUGGCCAUAGUUGGCUAGCUAGCAAGCAAGGGAUAAGAACGUUGCCAGCCAGUAUGGCAAUGGAACAUUUAGAACAGACUUCGUCUCGGGCCUAACAACACCCGUGCCAAUAUAGCCUCCAAACACUGCCAAUAUAUCCUCCAAAUAUCCUCUAAUGCUUCUCUGGCAUUAUCACUUAAUUAUAAACUGGGUGGUUCAAGUCCUGAAUGCUGAUUGGCUGACAGCCAUAGUAUACCAGACCGUAUACCACAGAUAUGAUAAAACAUUAUUUUACCUGCUCUAAUUACAUUGGUAACCAGUUGGUAACAUGGCAUUGUGCCUAAGAACAGCCCUUAGCCGUAGUAUAUUGGCCAUAUACCACACCCCUCAUGUCUUAUUGCCUAAACCAUGGAAUUGUUGAAUAGUCUUUUCUGAUUGGCUUGAAGGGCAUUCUAGAGUGUGCAUUAUUUCCCUACAGCGCACAGUAUAUUUUCACUGUAGAGUUCAAUGGCUAUAGUGAAUUUGUACAUGUUUUGUUUGAGCUGCUGUGAUGGAAAUGUUUGUUUGUGCUUUUCAAAUAAUUGAUUUCUGUGUUCUGUUUGUGCUUUUCUGAUAACCAAUUUCUGUGUUCAUGCAAGUGACUGAUUGAAUGCCUGGGAGAAAUCCUCACUGUAGUAUUUGAAAUUUGGAAGUACGCCCAGACCCCCAGUUUCAAGGUCUCAGCUUGGAGAGAAGAAGCCUCAUGAGGUAUUGGUCUGCCACAUGCAUGAACCAGUAUUGGUCGGUCACAUGAAGGAUAGCAAUCCGUCACAUGAAUGAUAGCAAAUAAAUAAUGAACAGGCUAAAUCAUGCAAGUAUUACUUUCUGUGUAAGUAUAUAAGAUAACUAACGGGACUGCCACAUUAGAGACCCUGAUCGACAUGUGUACUAUGGUGCAUUGAGUUGGUUGGAACCUCUCCAGCAAGCUGACAAUAAACAAUGAUUAAUUUUAGAUUUACUUUGAGUGUCCCUGUGUAAGAAUUUCCACAACAUUGGUUUUGAAAGCAAAAGUCUAAUUGGAAAUAGUAUUCGUAAUGUUGAAUUCAAAAUUCAUAAUAGCAAGUUAGGACUGAUGGUUUGGUUAGCUAAACUAGCAAGUCUGUUUGUUCGGUUACCACAGAAACUACUGUAGCUAUCUAGUUAAGUUGCUAGCUAGCUACUUCAGUGUAUGUUAAGCACAUUUCUCCCAGGCAAGAACACGUGUUAAUUUAUAGCCAUGGUAUAAAAGGGAUAAUCAACUUGCGUUCUCCAGAAAAUAAUGCAACUCCAAGGAAGGUCAGUUCCACUCCGCUAGUGGUGUGUCGUGGAACACACCUUCCACGUGUUCAUUAUUUUCCAAAGAAAGCACAACCCCUCCUUGAUUAUCCCUUACAUAAUGCACAUUCUAGAAUGCCAAUCAGAAGCAAGUAUUCAACAACGCCUUGGUAAAAUAUCAAGUAUUUACAGUUUAAUUUUACAGUAGGGUGCAACACAAUAUGCCUACAUUUAAUCUGCACCCUCCUGAACAGACCCCGGGUCUCACUGAAUCACUGAAGGCCAGUGAUAACCAUAACUGUCUCCAAAAUAAAGGCUACAGGUACUGUAUAUACUGUAGGAGUAGAAAUACUACACACAAAAAAACACUACACAAAAAAACGAAAUAAAAUGCUACAUCGUAAUCCAUCAAACAUGCCCACUCAAAUGAGUUGAGUAGGACUCAGUGGAGGCUGGUUGUAAUGGCUAGAAUGGAAUUAUGUUAGAUUCCAUUCCAGCCAUUAUAAUGAGCCUGUCCUCCUAUAGCUCCUCCCACCAGCCUCCACUGGUAGGCCUACACCGCACUAGUGAAACUAGUUGUGUAGGUUCCACCAUGUAGCUUUAACCAUCUCACCAGAUCACUGGUCAUGAAGGAAAGAAAGAAGACAAGGUGUGAGACAGUUGAGACACGUACAUCAGCAUACAUUCAUCAACGCAUAAACUGGGCCCCUGGUUAGACUGCCUUCUGUUCGCCUGUAAUUAGCUGUAAACCUAAAGGUUGUCUAUGCUAGUGCUACAGUGAGUUCAACACCUGCUAACACCAGGAUGAAAACCAGCAGAUGGACGCUGCUGACAUUUUGCCAGGUCUCAAUCAAAAAAUAGUUUCUUCACCUUGAGAUCUCCUGUUGAAACAAAGGUUAAAUCACUGCAGGUUGUCAUCUCUGCUGCUACAGCGAGUUACUGAGCAGACCUAAUCCCUGUGUGGCUGUGUGUGGUGAGGAGUUCCCACUCUCUGGCGCCAUUUGCUGGUUGAUGUUGAUAACACAGGUGAGCAGCAGGAAGACCACCACCAGGACAUCCAGGACCCCCAGGAGGCCAGACAGGGAGGAUGAAGUGUCCAGGGGGGCAGAGGAGAGGGACACCAUGGCCCCAAGACAGCAGAGCACCACUCUGAGAAAGAAGGGGCACACGAGCCCCCCCCCCCAUAGCACCCAGGCCGCGAGCUAGCAGCUGCAGGAACAGGGGCGUGUCACACAAGUAGUCUGUCA
ensembl:lncRNA